GUGGGGAAUAUUGCACAAUGGGCGCAAGCCUGAUGCAGCCAUGCCGCGUGUAUGAAGAAGGCCUUCGGGUUGUAAAGUACUUUCAGCGAGGAGGAAGGUGUUGUGGUUAAUAACCGCAGCAAUUGACGUUACUCGCAGAAGAAGCACCGGCUAACUCCGUGCCAGCAGCCGCGGUAAUACGGAGGGUGCAAGCGUUAAUCGGAAUUACUGGGCGUAAAGCGCACGCAGGCGGUCUGUCAAGUCGGAUGUGAAAUCCCCGGGCUCAACCUGGGAACUGCAGCCGAAACUGGCAGGCUAGAGGCUUGUAGAGGGGGGUAGAAUGCCAGGUGUAGCGGUGAAAUGCGUAGGGAUCUGGAGGAAUACCGGUGGCGGAGGCGGGCCCCUGGACAAAGACUGACGCUCAGGUGCGAGAGCGUGGGGAGCAAACAGGAUUAGAAACCCUUGUAGUCC
rnacentral:rRNA from 1 species